CCCUGAUUAGGGUUAGGGUUUCAUUCUCCAACUUCCACUCAAAAUUUUAUUGACAAGAGGAUGAUCGAAAUAGAAAGUAUAGGCUUGCUAAGUGGAGUAUUUGUGUUUGCCAAAAGACCAAUGGGGCCUUGUAUUCAAGAUUUAAACAUCAAGAAUAUUGCACUACUUAGUAAGUGGUUGUACAAGCUCCUAACUUCUGAUGGCAUUCGGCAGCAAAUUUUAUGGAAUAAAUAUCUUGGAUCAAUACCAUUGACACAGGUGGUCAGGAAGUACGAAGAUUCACAUUCCCAGUCCAGCCUUAUGAAAUUGAAAAUUCACUUUCUUUGUUUUGGAGUUUUUAUGGUCAGAGACGGAUCGUAAAUCCACUUCUGGGAGGAUUCAGGGAUUGGGGGGGUCUCUGCUCAUGCUGCAAUAUCCAUCAUUUUACAACACCACCAGACCUAAAAAUACAACUGUGGCAGAAGUUCUUGCUUCAUCCCCUCCUAACUUUUCUUGGCACAGGAAUCCCGUCGGCUCUAAACUUUUAGCUUGGAACAGUCUGUGGAUGCGUCUAGACGGUAUUAGCUUAUUACAAGACCAGGACCUCUUCUUCUGGGUCUUAUCUCCAAAUGGAGUUUUCUCGGUAAAAUCUAUGUAUGUUGCCUUGUUGUCAAAUAAUUUCCCCAAUGUUAAUCGUGACCUAUGGAAGUUAAGAAUCCUGCUAAAAGUUAAAAUAUUUUUGUGGUAUCUAAGCCGUGUUGUAACACUCACAAAGGAUAAUUUGGUUAAACGCAAUUGGCAGGAAGAUUUAUCCUGUUGUUCUUGCCACAAAAAUAAAUUUAUUAGGCACUUGUUCCUUGAUUGUCAUUUGGCUCAGUCAGUUUGGAACAUCAUGUACUUAGCUACUGGGAAAACACAAUCCAUUGUCCAUUGACAUUAAUCACAUGUUCGGUAGUUGGCUUCAAGGUCUUAGUAAUUGCUAGAAGUCGUUUUUGGAGGGGGGCACUUUAUGUUGAUCGAUUUUUGUUGAGCAGAAAUUAUGUGAUUUUUAAGGAAAAGCACAUAGGUGAUAAUCUAGGCUACAGAUUGAAGGUCAUUAGAACGGUGCUUGAGCUCUAUCUUUUUGGGCUAUGUGUGUUCGAGCAGAGGCCGGAAGUCUCUUAGCCAAGCUUUGUAUCACUUUGAUGUAUUGUUCUUGAUUUUAAUAUAAUGCUUCCCUUUUCGAAAAAACAGAUGCACCCAUUACAGCACAACAGGGAUAAUUACUUAAGCCUCCAGAGACCCAAAAAAAAGUUGCACAGGAAUGGAACCAGAGCAUUUGACCUGCUGAGUUUUUGAGCUGCAUUC
rnacentral:misc_RNA from 1 species